GUUGAACGCUGGCGGCAGGCUUAACACAUGCAAGUCGAGCGGAGAUGAGGUGCUUGCACCUUAUCUUAGCGGCGGACGGGUGAGUAAUGCUUAGGAAUCUGCCUAUUAGUGGGGGACAACAUUCCGAAAGGAAUGCUAAUACCGCAUACGUCCUACGGGAGAAAGCAGGGGGUCUUCGGACCUUGCGCUAAUAGAUGAGCCUAAGUCGGAUUAGCUAGUUGGGGGGGGAAAGGCAUACCAAGGCGACGAUCUGUAGCGGGUCUGAGAGGAUGAUCCGCCAGACUGGGACUGGGAAGAGGCCCAGACUCCUACGGGAGGCAGCAGGGGGGAAUAUUGGACAAUGGGGGGAACCCUGAUCCAGCCAUGCCGCGUGUGUGAAGAAGGCCUUAUGGUUGUAAAGCACUUUAAGCGAGGAGGAGGCUACUGAGACUAAUACUCUUGGAUAGUGGACGUUACUCGCAGAAUAAGCACCGGCUAACUCUGUGCCAGCCGCCGCCGUAAUAC
rnacentral:rRNA from 1 species